rnacentral:rRNA from 1 species
UUGGAGGGCAAGUCUGGUGCCAGCAGCCGCGGUAAUUCCAGCUCCAAUAGCGUAUAUUAAAGUUGUUGCAGUUAAAAAGCUCGUAGUUGAACUUCGGGGUCUACCCAUUGGUCAGGCUUAAUUGUCUGCACUGGUGAGAUGGAUCUCUACCUUCUGAGGAACUUUCAUGCCAUUUAUUUGGUGUGGUUGGAAAUCAGGACUGUUACUUUGAAAAAAUUAGAGUGUUUAAAGCAGACUAUCGUCUGAAUACAUUAGCAUGGAAUAAUGAAAUAGGACGGACUGAUUCUAUUUCGUUGGUUUCUAGGAUCACCGUAAUGAUUAAUAGGGAUAGUUGGGGGCAUUAGUAUUCAAUUGUCAGAGGUGAAAUUCUUGGAUUUAUUGAAGACUAACUACUGCGAAAGCAUUUGCCAAGGAUGUUUUCAUUAAUCAAGAACGAAAGUUAGGGGAUCGAAGACGAUCAGAUACCGUCGUAGUCUUAACCAUAAACUAUGCCGACUAGGGAUCGGACGAAGUUAAUUUUAUAAUGACGCGUUCGGCGCCUUACGGGAAAC